CUCCUCCUACGGGAGGCAGCAGUCGAGAAUCAUUCACAAUGGGGGAAACCCUGAUGGUGCGACGCCGCGUGGGGGAAUGAAGGUCUUCGGAUUGUAAACCCCUGUCAUGCGGGAGCAAAUUAAAAAGAUGGUACCACAAGAGGAAGAGACGGCUAACUCUGUGCCAGCAGCCGCGGUAAUACAGAGGUCUCAAGCGUUGUUCGGAAUCACUGGGCGUAAAGCGUGCGUAGGCUGUUUCGUAAGUCGUGUGUGAAAGCCGCGGGCUCAACCCGCGGCCGGCACAUGAUACGGCG
rnacentral:rRNA from 1 species